rnacentral:tRNA from 1 species
GAGGGUACAGCUCAGUGGUAGAGUAUGUGCUUAGCAUGCAUGAGUUCCUGGUUUCAAUUUCCAGUACUUCUG